rnacentral:tRNA from 1 species
GGGUGAGUGGCGAAAUUGGUAGACGCAUUACACUCAAAAUGUAACGGUUUUCCAUGAGGGUUCGAAUCCCUCCUCACCCA